rnacentral:rRNA from 1 species
CACGUAGGGCGCAAGCGUUGUCCGGAAUUAUUGGGCGUAAAGAGCUCGUAGGCGGUCUGUCGCGUCGGAUGUGAAAAUCCAGGGCUCAACCCUGGACCUGCAUUCGAUACGGGCAGACUAGAGUUCGGUAGGGGAGACUGGAAUUCCUGGUGUAGCGGUGAAAUGCGCAGAUAUCAGGAAGAACACCAAUGGCGAAAGCAGCUCUCUGGGACGGUACUGACGCUGAGACGCGAAAGCGUGGGGAGCGAACAGG